rfam:Triticum aestivum genome assembly, contig: Triticum_aestivum_CS42_TGACv1_scaffold_433161_5DL
UAAAUACUCCCUCUGUUCCAUAUUAGUUGUUGCUGAAAUAAAUGUAUCUAGACGUAUUUCAGUGCUAGAUACAUCUGUUUGAGCGACAACUAAUAUGGGACACAGGGAGUAGUUA